rnacentral:rRNA from 1 species
UUGAACGCUAGCUACAGGCUUAACACAUGCAAGUCGAGGGGCAGCAUGGUCUUAGCUUGCUAAGGCCGAUGGCGACCGGCGCACGGGUGAGUAACACGUAUCCAACCUGCCGUCUACUCUUGGACAGCCUUCUGAAAGGAAGAUUAAUACAAGAUGGCAUCAUGAGUCCGCAUGUUCACAUGAUUAAAGGUAUUCCGGUAGACGAUGGGGAUGCGUUCCAUUAGAUAGUAGGCGGGGUAACGGCCCACCUAGUCUUCGAUGGAUAGGGGUUCUGAGAGGAAGGUCCCCCACAUUGGAACUGAGACACGGUCCAAACUCCUACGGGAGGCAGCAGUGAGGAAUAUUGGUCAAUGGGCGAGAGCCUGAACCAGCCAAGUAGCGUGAAGGAUGACUGCCCUAUGGGUUGUAAACUUCUUUUAUAAAGGAAUAAAGUCGGGUAUGGAUACCCGUUUGCAUGUACUUUAUGAAUAAGGAUCGGCUAACUCCGUGCCAGCAGCCGCGGUAAUACGGAGGAUCCGAGCGUUAUCCGGAUUUAUUGGGUUUAAAGGGAGCGUAGAUGGAUGUUUAAGUCAGUUGUGAAAGUUUGCGGCUCAACCGUAAAAUUGCAGUUGAUACUGGAUAUCUUGAGUGCAGUUGAGGCAGGCGGAAUUCGUGGUGUAGCGGUGAAAUGCUUAGAUAUCACGAAGAACUCCGAUUGCGAAGGCAGCCUGCUAAGCUGCAACUGACAUUGAGGCUCGAAAGUGUGGGUAUCAAACAGGAUUAGAUACCCUGGUAGUCCACACGGUAAACGAUGAAUACUCGCUGUUUGCGAUAUACUGCAAGCGGCCAAGCGAAAGCGUUAAGUAUUCCACCUGGGGAGUACGCCGGCAACGGUGAAACUCAAAGGAAUUGACGGGGGCCCGCACAAGCGGAGGAACAUGUGGUUUAAUUCGAUGAUACGCGAGGAACCUUACCCGGGCUUAAAUUGCAGAUGAAUUACGGUGAAAGCCGUAAGCCGCAAGGCAUCUGUGAAGGUGCUGCAUGGUUGUCGUCAGCUCGUGCCGUGAGGUGUCGGCUUAAGUGCCAUAACGAGCGCAACCCUUGUUGUCAGUUACUAACAGGUUCCGCUGAGGACUCUGACAAGACUGCCAUCGUAAGAUGUGAGGAAGGUGGGGAUGACGUCAAAUCAGCACGGCCCUUACGUCCGGGGCUACACACGUGUUACAAUGGGGGGUACAGAGGGCCGCUACCACGCGAGUGGAUGCCAAUCCCCAAAACCUCUCUCAGUUCGGACUGGAGUCUGCAACCCGACUCCACGAAGCUGGAUUCGCUAGUAAUCGCGCAUCAGCCACGGCGCGGUGAAUACGUUCCCGGGCCUUGUACACACCGCCCGUCAAGCCAUGGGAGCCGGGGGUACCUGAAGUGCGUAACCGCGAGGAGCGCCCUAGGGUAAAACUGGUGACUGGGGCU